ensembl:lncRNA
AAAUACUCCUGCUACAGCCAGAGAGAGCACACGCAGCACCCGAUGCAUCCACCUACAAACAGACCCAGUGCAUCUCCAACUGCUCCAUUUUUCCAAGACUGAAGGACGUCACAGAGACAGGUUAUUGCAGAUACUCCCAGAGCUGUAACAGCUGAACAACAGGCCCUGUCUCAGUGAUCUCACAGCCCUUCUAAAGACACUUUAGCAUAAAGAGUACAUUGAAAAAUGACCAAAUACUUUUCACUGCUUUCACUUCGGUUGCGGUUAAGGAUGUGCAGAUCUGUUCAAGGCUGGGAUUCACAGUGCGUUUGUCUUUACCAAAAGUUAUCCAGCCAGAAAAGAGAUGAAAUCACAGCUGUGUCGGGUAUACAGGAAUAUAAAAUAAA